UCUUUUAAUUCCUAUGUUUAUCGAUCAUAUUUGAAAAUUGAAGCAUUUGAAAGAAAUACAGAAAACUUGAAUACCAAAACAAACAUCUGUGCCUGUUCUUUCACGUACAUGACAAUACACAUCACUGAUUCCAUAUGAAAACCAAGAUUUAAAAUGUGAAAAGUAGUAAUCACAAUUAUGCCUAAAAAAGCAGUGCCUACAUACAAAACCUGUCUGAAUAAAGUCAGUUUGUGUCUGCCAAUCUCAUCAGGAGGAAUUGAACCCAGAGCCCAGCCCAGGGACCAGCGCUAAUGAAGUCUGUGAAUGUGGGGUCGCCUGGAGCUCGAGCUGGUGUCGGUCUCUCUCAUUCCUGCAGACUUAGAAGAUGAAGCAGACUUGAUAAAAGUGGGAUUUUAAAAAUAUUAAUUUAUAGAUGCUUAAUAGAUAUUAAAGCAAUAUUUUCUACAGUCAGUUGAGUUUGGGUACCGCCGAGUGAGAUAACACUAUUUCAGGACUUCUGAAGGCAUCCGCUGUGUUCAUGUGCAGGGACCCAUGAGGACACUCAGUAGGCAGUCACCAGGUGUCCCCGGCCACAAGGGCCUUUCACGUUUUUCCCCAAAGCAUUUCAUGGGGCUGGUGUUCCGUGGGAUACAAUGAAGGAAGUGCUUCAUUCAACAGUUUCUCAAUACAGCUUCCUAGGAACAAAAUCGUUAUUUCAAAUUUACCAGAGUGUGUUAACAUUAAUUUAUCAGACUCCAACACACUAAUCUCUUAUCAAAUAAUUCUAGUUAUUUUUAUUAUCACUAGAUGAGAGUGAUACAGAGGUAAUAUAUUUCCAGGAAAAAACACUGGGCAGAGUUCAGGAGCUAUGCGUGAAGUGUGGUCCUAGCUACAUUAAGUUGUAGCCAUGAGACAUUUAAAACUUUUCUUUAUCUGUUUAAAAUCCAAGUGUAAUCAUAAUGUGUUAAUUCGGUUUAAUAAUGUAUUAAUAAUUUAAAUAUAAUUUUAGUAGGAGAGCUUCUGUGUGUUCCAUUUUUAAUGUCUCCACAGCUUGAACUAGGACACCUUUCCUUUGAUCCACACAAUUGUUCCAAUUUGGACACAUAGUCCUCUUAACUCUCCUUUGCUUAGCUCAGUCCCACCACUGCACUGAAUGAGACACUUUCAGUCACCGAUCUGUAUGGUACAAUCUGAAAUGAAACAUCCAUUUUGAGCAUUGCCAAUAAUCAUGAUGCCAAAUUCAUAUCAUGAAAACUUUAAGCACUAUCAUGGAGAAUUCAGUGUGUGCAAAUAUAUUGCAUUAUGUCAACUUCUCUGAGAUAUGCGUUUUGUAGUGUGUCUGCAAUGUGCAGACCAAAGGAGGGGAGGGAUCCAGCUUGGGCUUGAAGCCUGCUCAGUGUCGAUUGAAGACAAUUCUGGGUUUGUCAGAAAUCCAUUUGCAGAAGGAGCCAGAAGGCUUUGGAGAGAUAUGUCAUUUUAGGGAAGAGGGUUGAGAGAACUAUGUUUUCCCACAUGAGUCAGACGCAGAGCAGAAGCGUGGGGACGCGGUGCCUGGAGGACCCAGACCAGUGGGUGCUGGUCUUCCCAGGUCAGGGCACCAACCUCACACAAGGCCAGAGAGAGGAGGUGUCCUGUGGCCCUCACUAAGCCACAGGCGCCUCCAUACAACAGAACCCACAAGACGACAUCACCUGGAGAGGCCACGAGGGACGUUCCUCCGGAGCACUGAGCCGGGACUGCGACAAGGGGUCCUAGCAGGGAGCCACGAGGGCACCGGCCCCUCCGUCCACAUCCUCCAGGCUCGGAGGCCUCUGCCCUGAUGCCUGAGGCUGGAUGGGACAGGGACAGAGAGAAGCUAUGCAGAGCCCAUGGAGGGAAGACCCAACCUGCAGGGGCGGCUUCUUCAUGAGCUGCAGGGAGCCCAGCAGAGGAAGGGCCAUGAUGGGGCAAAGGAGGGGGAAGCUGUGAGUAAGGACAUGGCCUCCAGCGAAGCAUCCCAUGUGGAUUUAGGGAUGGCCUAGGAUCUCUGAAUGGAUUCAGUUAACAGGCAUCAAAGAAACACUCCCAAGUGCAUGAAGGAAUUGAGUACGAGAUAAAACAUCAGUUCUAAUCACUGGAGGGGCAACGGAUGGCUCAGUAGUUUGGGGAUAUGUGGUUAGCCAUUCAGAAAUAAAAUAAACUGAAUUCUAUUUUACUAAUUAGGUAGGCAGGUAGAUAGGUAAGUAAGUAGGUAGGCAGGUGGAUAGGUAGGUGGCUAGAUGGGUAGACAGAUAAGUAAGCAGGCAAGUAGGCAGGCACGUAGGCAGGUAGGUAGGUAGAUAGGUAGGCAGGUAGGUACAUAAGUAGGUAGAUAGGUAGAUAGAUAGGCAGGUAGGGAGGUAGAUAGGCAGGUAGGCAGGUAGGUAGAUAGGUAGUUAGCUAGGUGGGUAUAUAGGUAGGUGGCUAGAUAUGUAAGCAGGUAGAUAAGUAGGUAGCAGGUAGAUAGGUAGGUGGCUAGAUGGUAGGCAGGUAGAUAGGUAAGUAGGUAGGUAGGUGGCUAGAUGGCAGGCAGGGAGGUAAGUAGGUAGAUAGGCAGGCAGGUAAGUAGGUAGGUAAAUAAGAAGGCAGGCAGGUAGGUAGGUAGAUAGUCAGGUACACAGGUAGGUAGGUAGAUAGGAAAGCAGGUAGGUAGGUAGAUAGGCAGGUAGACAGGUAGGUAGGUAGAUAGGAAAGCAGGUAGGAAGGUAGAUAGGCAGGUAGACAGGUAGUAGAUGGGUAGGUGCUAGGUGAGUAGAUAGGUAAGAAGCUAGAUAGAUAGGCAAGUAGAUAGGCAGGUGGGUAGGUAGGCAGGCAGGUAAGUAGACAAGCAGGUAAGUAGGUAGGUAAGUAGGUAGGAGGGUGGGUAGAUAGGCAAGUAGGUAGGUAGGUAGCUUGGCAGGUAGACAGGUAGGUAGGUAGAUAGGUAGGUAGGUAAGUAGUAGAUAGGUAGUCAGGUGAGUAGACAGACUGGUAGGUGAGUAGGUAGGUAGAUGCACAGGCAAGUAAGUAGGUACAUAGGUAGGUAGGUAGGUAGGUAGGUAGAUAGGCAAGCAGCAGAUAGGUAGGUAGGUAGGUAGAUAGGCAGGCAGCAGAUAGGUAGGUAGAUAGGUAGGCAUGGUACGUAUGGUAGGUAGGUAGAUAGGGAGUUAGGUAGGUAGAUAGGCAAGUAGGUAGAUAGGUGGGUAGACAGGCAGGUAGGUAGGUAGAUAGGUUGGUAGCUAGGUAGGUAGAUAGGCAGGUAGGUAGGCAGAUAAUCUGGUAGUCAGGUAGGUAGGAGGUAUGUAGGUAGAUAGGUAGGCAGGUAGGUAAAUAGGUAUGGUAGAUAAGUAGGUAGGCAGGCAGAUAGGUAGAUAGGUAGGUAGACAACAGAUAGGUAGGUAGGUAGAUAAACAGCAUGAUAGGUAAGUAGAUAGAUAGGUAGGUAGAUAAGCAGGUAGGUAGAUAUACAGAUAGGUAGGUAGAUAAGCAGGUAGGUAGAUAGGUAGGUAAGUAGGUAGGCAGUUUUAUAGGCAGGUAGGUAAGUAGGCAAGUAGAUAGGUAGGUGGCUAGAUAGGUAUGCAGGUAGAGAGGCAGGUAGGUAAGUGUACAGAUAGGCAGGUACGUAGGUAGCUAGGUAGGUAGGCAGGUAGGUAGAAGGUAUGGUAGGU
rnacentral:lncRNA from 1 species